rnacentral:rRNA from 1 species
GACGAACGCUGGCGGCGUGCCUAAUACAUGCAAGUAGAACGCUGAAGAGAGGAGCUUGCUCUUCUUGGAUGAGUUGCGAACGGGUGAGUAACGCGUAGGUAACCUGCCUUGUAGCGGGGGAUAACUAUUGGAAACGAUAGCUAAUACCGCAUAACAAUGGAUGACACAUGUCAUUUAUUUGAAAGGGGCAAUUGCUCCACUACAAGAUGGACCUGCGUUGUAUUAGCUAGUAGGUGAGGUAAUGGCUCACCUAGGCGACGAUACAUAGCCGACCUGAGAGGGUGAUCGGCCACACUGGGACUGAGACACGGCCCAGACUCCUACGGGAGGCAGCAGUAGGGAAUCUUCGGCAAUGGGGGCAACCCUGACCGAGCAACGCCGCGUGAGUGAAGAAGGUUUUCGGAUCGCAAAGCUCUGUUGUAAGUCAAGAACGGGUGUGAGAGUGGAAAGUUCACACUGUGACGGUAGCUUACCAGAAAGGGACGGCUAACUACGUG